UAAAUAAAACGAAAAAUAGCGUGGAAUCCACGCGAACUCUGCGAGCCUUAUAUAUAUAUUGCAGAUUUGCAAUAACAGCUAGCUACGCAUAACAAACACUAACACGAUGCAGAGUUUGCAACAGAAAGCGGCGGAAUGGAGCGGAGUGGCAACGGACGACGCUUUUGCCAUCGACGAAACCAAUCUGUUUUAGAAACUUGGCCUUCAAACAUUCAUUAAUCUCUCCACCAAUUUCUACACCAGGGUUUAUGACGAUGAGGAAGAAUGGUUUCGUUCAAUCUUCGCUAAUUCUAAGAAGGAAGACGCUAUUCAAAACCAAUACGAAUUUUUCGUCCAAAGAAUGGGAGGCCCUGCUCUCUAUUCUCAGAGAAGAGGGCAUCCUGCUCUAAUUGGUCGACAUCGACCGUUUCCAGUCACGCACCAAGCUGCAGAGAGGUGGUUGCAUCACAUGCAACAAGCGUUGGAUACAACUACAGAUAUAGAUGAUGACUCAAAGAUAAAAAUGAUGAACUUUUUCAGGUUUAUUUUCUGUCGCACAGUGCAACUUCAUAUAUAUAGAUGCUUGUUCAGAUCCUAUUUUGCUUUCCUUGUUAUUUUUUUAGGCACACUGCAUAUUUUCUGGUUGCUGGAGAUGAACUGAAGAAUCAAAACCAGCAAGUGCCAUGCAAGCAUGCAGCAGGAAGAUAACAAUAACAUUCACCAUAAUCUUAUUUUCAUUGCAUAUUUGGAGAUCAGCUAAGGAAUCAAAUCAUACCAAUACCAAUGGCCAUGCAAGCAUGAACCUGGAUCAGAAGGUAGAGCAUCCAUGUGUAAAGAUUUAACAUUUUUAUCACAAUAGGAUAUUCAAAAGAAUGAAAUGGUCAUUCUCUUUGGAAUAUUAAAAAUGCUCUUAAUAUUAUGUAUAUUUUUAAGCACCAUUUAUAAAUGUUAUCCAUGAAUAAGGCACUUCUCAGUUCAAACACUUAGAUGUGGUUUAACUUUAGGGUUUUCCUGCUUGUUUGUUUGCAAUUUACAGCAACUAGAUCGAUGUCAGAUUCAUUCUUAUAAAUCUAUAAAUUUAUAAAUUUUGAUU